rnacentral:rRNA from 1 species
GGAAUAUUGGGCAAUGGAGGAAACUCUGACCCAGCGACGCCGCGUGCGGGAUGAAGGCCUUCGGGUUGUAAACCGCUUUCAGCAGGGAAGAAGCGAAAGUGACGGUACCUGCAGAAGAAGCACCGGCUAACUAUGUGCCAGCAGCCGCGGUAAUACAUAGGGUGCAAGCGUUGUCCGGAAUUAUUGGGCGUAAAGAGCUCGUAGGUGGUUCGUCACGUCGGAUGUGAAACUCUGGGGCUUAACCCCAGACCUGCAUUCGAUACGGGCGAGCUUGAGUAUGGUAGGGGAGUCUGGAAUUCCUGGUGUAGCGGUGGAAUGCGCAGAUAUCAGGAGGAACACCAAUGGCGAAGGCAGGACUCUGGGCCAUUACUGACACUGAGGAGCGAAAGCGUGGGGAGCGAACGGGAUUAGAUACCCUGGUAGUCCACGCCGUAAACGGUGGGCACUAGUUGUGGGGACCUUCCACGGUCUCUGCGACGCAGCUAACGCAUUAAGUGCCCCGCCUGGGGAGUACGAUCGCAAGAUUAAAACUCAAAUGAAUUGACGG